ensembl:lncRNA
UAAAAACUGAAUCAACUUCUAAAAAUACUUUUAUAUUAUACUAUUAUAGGAUCUGGAGAAAAACCUGCUAAGUGGGCAUGUUCUGUCUAACAAAAUGUAUCUGUGGAAACACAAAGGAUUUGAUCCUCUCCUCAGAAAACAUUACAGCAAACAUGUGACUUUAUUCAAUGACAUGAAGGUAUGUAGACUGUUCUCUUUUGGUCUUAUUUGUGGACACAACUCCUGGUCUUCAAUCGCAAUCACAAUAGUAUGUGACUGGAACAUACAUUGAAGUCACGGAUCUUUACAGAUAUAUUCCAUAUCACAAUGAAAAUGUUUAGCAUAUUAACUAUUUGUAUUUGAAAGACCAAAUUUAUAAGAACCUUAUAUAAGGACAACAUGAAGAAGAAAGCUAUAGUAACCGAGCACAUUAACUAUUUUGAUUUUGAAACUAAUAUCCUGUCAUUUUUGGGAAGGAAACCUUUUUAGUCAGAUGAAUGCUGGUUAUACAGGGAAGGAUUGACAUUACUUUUCAGGCAGAGGAGGGGGAACGGGAGUAAUGAAUAAUUAAAAUGUUGCCUUGACUGUGCAACAUUUUACAAUUUUCUUUGUUAACCCUUCUUAAUAUCCCCUGUCAAAUUGUUUUCAUGCUUUUUACUUACUUAAUACCACAGACAGACAAGGUUUAUCCAGAGACUGGAAAAAAUACUGAUAGUACCUGGAACUGUAGUUGAGAAGCAGCUAUUCAUAACAGAGGUCAUUUUACCAGAGGUAAUGUUUGCAAAUAAUACAACUACAUUUACAGGAAAACUAAUUACUGAGUAAGUUAUGCCAUACAACAAGUGUCACUCGAUUUUGGAUAAUUUGGAGAACAUAAUUUCCAGAAUACAUACCACAACAAGAAAAAUAGAAUCAUGACUUUCUGCUAAUAGUUGUUAAAAUCAAAACUGAAGUACUUGAGUAUGACUAUUAAUUUUAAUGAGUACAUAAAUGUACAGUAUACAAGACGAAAUACUUUAAUGGGUUUGAAGCUGAUAAUUUCUGACAUGCUUAUUAUUAAAAAUAAUUUUUGUUACAUGUGUCGUUACCAAGCAGAAUCUGUGCUUCUAACCACCAAACCUUCAAAGAAAAAGAAAGGAGCUGCAAGAAAGGCAGCUGAAGAAACCGAGACCACCGAAGAGGAAAACCUUCUUAUCCUACAUAGCCUGGCUGCAGCUGACUGGUGCGAUAAGGCAACAUUCAAUGGAGGACUGAAACUCCCUGCUGUCCUUUUUAUGGACAGAGAAGAAAGAAAAGAAGCCAUCCAGGAGAUGGACACCUGGGAUGGGGAACUGGAUGAGGAUUCUCCAGCAGAACUUUGUACAUUCGUUUUUGAAAGAAAAAAGGACUAUGACAACUUCUGGGAAGAAUGUGUUGAUAAAAACAAUUACAGACUGUUUACAAGAUUUGAGGAACAGUGAUUGUUAAAAUAUUUU